rnacentral:rRNA from 1 species
UGGUGGAGUGAUUUGUCUGGUUAAUUCCGUUAACGAACGAGACCGCGACCUGCUAAAUAGUUCGGCUUAGCCUUCGGGCUAGGUAACUUGCGGACUUCUUAGAGGGACUAUCGGUGAUCUAGCCGAUGGAGGUUCGCGGCAAUAACA